UCAUGCAGCAUGAAAAUGGGCCUGUCAGCAGGCAAUCAGAGAGAGCAACAAGGAUUGGUGGAGCGCUGCGUCCCACCGCUCACUGUCGUCUCCUCGCGUACAGGUUUCAAAUGGAGUUUGUCCCCAAACCACCACCUGGGAUAUGCCGCAGGCCCUCAGGAGGCAUCCCUGCGGAGGGGAAACCAAAGGAAGAGGAGGCUUUGCCACCUCUCGCCCAGGGCAAGAAAGUGAGAUUUGCUGGCAAGCCAACUUUCAUCAAACGCUUGAGCUCGGACAGUCUAGAUGGAGGAAAACUCCGAAGGAUAAGGAGCUUACUGCGCAAGGAGAGCUCUACGUCCAGUCUGCUGCCAGCCAUCCCUGGAGUGCCUGAAGAACAAAAGCAGCCGCUGACCUGCCAGCUGCAGGGCCAGGCAGAAACAGACAGCCAAGAAGACCUGGGCCGAGCCCCAGGAACCAAACACGUGAGCUUCCGUGAGGAAGAACAGGAAGCGGAAAAAGCCCAUCGUGUGGCUGCAGUGCUCAAGUUGCCCAAAGCCAACGAAUCUUUCAGCAAAGAUUCCAG
rnacentral:lncRNA from 1 species